AUGCACCUCUCUGUCCAUCCCAACACAACAGUCAUAUUUCUCAUAGAUGCAGAUCCAAGCAAAACCUGUAAAAUGUUGCUGCUCCACAUCAUUAUUCUGGCUUUGGUUUUGUCUUACAGAUGUGCCCAAAUACAUCUGAGACAAGCUCAGUUGUCCGUUAUCAGGGCAGAAAAUAAAACUGCACGUAUAGUCUGUGAGGCUUCUGGCACUGAGAACUUCGGGAGUGCUGUUAUACACUGGUAUCGACACAGACCUGGAGAAGCUCUGGAGCAGAUACUCUAUUUUAAGACACAAGCUGAGAAAUCAAGUUUUGACAAGAACAAGUUUAGGGUUGACAAGACAACUGAAAAGUCCACCUGUACCUUAACAGUUGGCAAACUAACCUACAAUGACAUGGCUACCUAUUACUGUGCCUACUGGCAUCGCACAGCGUUAGAAAGCCAUAGACAGGCUGUACAAAAACCUCAUUCAGUAUUCUGA